rnacentral:lncRNA from 1 species
GUUAUAGGAGGAGUUUUGUCUGUAAACGUUUAUUCAAGAGGCAAAGGUAGCCUUUCUGGCUGAAAACUAGAAACUCAUUCUAUUUAACUAAUGUGUAGUUUGCGGGGAGGUGGGAUUUAGAUGUAUUUAAACCCCACCCCUGAACUAUUGUGAGCUUUCUAGUGUGUGAAGCCAAGAUACCGAACAAGUCGGCAAGAGACAAAAACGGGGAGAUGCCAGGACGAGCAUCCGUUCUGCUCCGCAGUGGCCCGGGGGCCGGUGUUCCCGCAGACACCAGCAGCUGAUCCGCGCACAGAACAGGACCCCGGCCACGGUGAGGAAGAGAGAACGCGCACGCUUCAGAUCUCUGGUCGGAGCGCUGUUAUGGAGUUGGCGGUGGACCUCACGAGUGCCGAGUGCAUUUGCUCCCCGGGGAGGCUCGAUGCUCAGGGACUCCAGGCCUCGGCGUCUGCAGCAGAUAAUCACAGAGGCUUGCCAGGUGGCCUCCGGUGAGCUCCGUGUGGCUGCAGCCCAGCUGGAAUCGCUGAGAUUAGGGAGGAAGAGGGGCCGGUUCCUCAUAGCCCGUGGCACGUGGGAAGGAUGCGCCCCCGGCGUAGAGCCCGCGCUGGGGACCACAAACACGCCCCUCCAGCUGCUACCC